rnacentral:lncRNA from 1 species
UUUGGAGUCCUGACGUUGCCACUGGCAGUCCAGGUGGCUGUUUUUGUGCCACCCUCCACCAUAUAUUUACCUAGACAGCAAUGGGAAUCAUACAGAAAUCCCUGGCUAAGAAGAGAAUUGUCUUUUGGUGCCCCCUACUACAGUUCUAAGGAUGCUGAAAUUACAGUCAAUUUAAGGGCAAGUGUCUGUUACCCUCUGAAUAAUCAGAGUCCACUCCUCUCCAGAGCAUCAGAGAAAGUAGGGGUACAACCAAGUAGGAAAGCUAAUGAAGAGAAACUUUUUGUUCUAGUAGUUUAGAGCAAACAUGGAGGCUUCCUUCGGAGAACAUGGAUUCCUGGUUGCACCAGAUAUCUAAACCAGUACCUGAGGAUUCCUUUCUCUGCCCCCAAGUUUUUAAAACAUGGAGAACAAGAAAGAAAGAACCCGAGGAACAACUCAGAGGAGCCCUUGUCAUCACAUUAAACUAUUACCCAAAGUCUCAGAAAUUGUAUUGAAUAACCCAGUUUUGUGAAGCCAAAUAAACCAAAGUGUUAGAAUAUAGACCA